UGGGGUUGUUUUACGGCGUAGCCUCCCGAACACCCUUUAGCGAAUAGUUUCCACAACGCUUAGGGGACAGAAGACCCAGCCGGUCGAUUUGAGGCACGCGGCGGACCGCGUUGCCCAAUACCAAGCGAGGCUUGAGUGGUGAAAUGACGCUCGAACAGGCAUGCCCCCCGGAAUACCAGGGGGCGCAAUGUGCGUUCAAAGAUUCGAUGAUUCACUGAAUUCUGCAAUUCACAUUACUUAUCGCAUUUCGCUGCGUUCUUCAUCGAUGCCAGAACCAAGAGAUCCGUUGUUAAAAGUUUUAAUUUAUUAAUUAAGUUUACUCAGACUGCAAAGUUACGCAAGAGUUUGAAGUGUCCACCCGGAGCCCCCGCCCGAAGGCAGGGUCGCCCCGGAGGC
rnacentral:misc_RNA from 1 species